AUUGAACGCUGGCGGCAGGCCUAACACAUGCAAGUCGAGCGAGCGGCGGACGGGUGAGUAAUGUAUGGGGACUGCCCGAUAGAGGGGGAUAACUACUGGAAACGGUGGCUAAUACCGCAUACUAUCGGAUAACCCAUAUGGGAUUAGCUAGUAGGUGGGGUAAAGGCUAACCUAUGCGACGAUCUCUAGCUGGUCUGAGAGGAUGUUCAGCCACACUGGGACUGGGAAACGGCCCAGAAUCCUACGGAGGCAGCAGUGGGGAAUAUUGCACGAUGGGCGCAAGUCUUAUGCAGCCCUGUCGCGUGUAUGAAGAAGGCCUUAGGGUUGUAAAGCACUUUCAGCUGGGAGGCGUUACCCGUAGAAGAAGCACCGGCUAACGCCGUGCCAGCAGCCGCGGUAAUAC
rnacentral:rRNA from 1 species